rnacentral:sRNA from 1 species
CAACUUCAAUCUGCUGGGGACAAAUAAAAUGCACAUGUGCAUCAAUGCCCCCUGCUGUAACAAUCUUACCUUCUCCUGCAAUAAUCUCCGUGCUUGCACCAACAACCAUACCUGGUGUCACGCCAUCCAUGAUGUCAGGGUUGCCUGCUUUUCCAAUAGCUGUGAUUACCCCAUCCCGGAUUCCGAUAUCUCCCUUCACAAUCCCCCAAUGGUCGAUGAUCACCGCAUUUGUUAUAAGCGUAUCGAGUACACCCUCACUGCGUAUGGCGCUGCUGGACUGGCCCAUCCCAUCACGAAUG